AACGAACGCUGGCGGCGUGCCUAACACAUGCAAGUCGAGCGCGAAUGGAGCAAUCCUAGUAGAGCGGCGCACGGGUGCGUAACACGUGGGUAAUCUGCCUCAAAGCCCGGGAUAACCUGCCGAAAGGCAAGCUAAUACCGGAUAAGCCUACGGACUCUUCGGGGUCUGAAGGAAAAGGUGGCCUCUGUAUACAAGCUAUCACUUUGAGAUGAGCCCGCGGCCC
rnacentral:rRNA from 1 species